ACUCAAAUGAAUUGACGGGGGCCCGCACAAGCGGUGGAGCAUGUGGUUCAAUUCGACGCAACGCGAAGAACCUUACCUGGGCUCGAAAUGUAGUGGAAUGGGGUGGAAACAUCCCAGGCUCGCAAGAGACUGCUAUAUAGGUGCUGCAUGGCUGUCGUCAGCUCGUGUCGUGAGAUGUUGGGUUAAGUCCCGCAACGAGCGCAACCCUUAUUGCCAGUUGCCAUCGGGUCAAGCCGGGCACUCUGGCGAAACUGCCUCGGAUAACGGGGAGGAAGGUGGGGAUGACGUCAAGUCCUCAUGGCCUUUAUGUCCAGGGCUACACACGUGCUACAAUGGUCGGUACAAACCGUUGCAAACCCGCGAGGGGGAGCUAAUCGGAAAAAGCCGGCCUCAGUUCGGAUUGGAGUCUGCAACUCGACUCCAUGAAGCUGGAAUCGCUAGUAAUCGCAGAUCAGAACGCUGCGGUGAAUACGUUCCCGGGCCUUGUACACACCGCCCGU
rnacentral:rRNA from 1 species